AGAGUUUGAUCCUGGCUCAGAACGUACGCUGGCGGCACGCCUAACACAUGCAAGUCGAACGAAGUAGCAAUACUUAGUGGCAGACGGGUGAGUAACAUGUGGGUAUCUGCCCUUUGGCCUGGAAUAACACGAGGAAACUUGUGCUAAUACCGGAUAAGUCUUUACGGAGAAAGCUUUAUGCACCAUUGGAUGAGCCUGCACUUGAUUAGUUUGUUGGUGGGGUAAUGGCCUACCAAGACUGUGAUCAAUAGCUGAUUUGAGAGGAUGAUCAGCCACAUUGGGACUGAGACACGGCCCAAACUCCUACGGGAGGCAGCAGUGGGGAAUCCUGCACAAUGGAGGAAACUCUGAUGCAGCGAUGCCGCGUGAGUGAAGAAGGCCUUUGGGUUGUAAAGCUCUUUCGUCGGGGAAGAAAAUGACUGUACCCGAAUAAGAAGGUCCGGCUAACUUCGUGCCAGCAGCCGCGGUAAUACGAAGGGACCUAGCGUAGUUCGGAAUUACUGGGCUUAAAGAGUUCGUAGGUGGUUGAAAAAGUUGGUGGUGAAAUCCCAGAGCUUAACUCUGGAACUGCCAUCAAAACUUUUCAGCUAGAGUGUGAUAGAGGAAAGCAGAAUUUCUAGUGUAGAGGUGAAAUUCGUAGAUAUUAGAAAGAAUACCAAUUGCGAAGGCAGCUUUCUGGAUCAUUACUGACACUGAGGAACGAAAGCAUGGGUAGCGAAGAGGAUUAGAUACCCUCGUAGUCCAUGCCGUAAACGAUGUGUGUUAGACGUUGGAAAUUUAUUUUCAGUGUCGCAGCGAAAGCGAUAAACACACCGCCUGGGGAGUACGACCGCAAGGUUAAAACUCAAAUGAAUUGACGGGGACCCGCACAAGUAGUGGAGCAUGUGGUUUAAUUCGAAGAUACGCGCAGAACCUUACCAACACUUGACAUGUUCGUCGCGACUUUAAGAGAUUAAAGUUUUCGGUUCGGCCGGACGAAACACAGGUGCUGCAUGGCUGUCGUCAGCUCGUGUCGUGAGAUGUUGGGUUAAGUCCCGCAACGAGCGCAACCCUCACUUUUAGUUGCCAUCAUUUAGUUGGGCACUCUGAAAGAACUGCCAGUGAUAAGCUGGAGGAAGGUGGGGAUGACG
rnacentral:rRNA from 1 species